rnacentral:rRNA from 1 species
CGUCUAUAUACGUAUAGCAUAUCAAUAAGCGGAGGAAAAGAAACUAACAAGGAUUCCCUUAGUAACGGCGAGUGAAGCGGGAAGAGCUCAAAUUUGAAAUCUUCAAGGUUCUACCUUGACGAAUUGUAGUUUAAAGAAGUGUUUUCUGUUAGAUGAGUAGCAAAAGUUCCUUGGAAUGGGACAUCAUAGAGGGUGAGAAUCCCGUAUUUGGUUAUUCAUUCUAGCUUUGUGAUACACUUUCAAAGAGUCGGAUUGUUUGGGAAUGCAGUCCAAAAUGGGUGGUAAAUUUCAUCUAAAGCUAAAUAUUGGCGAGAGACCGAUAGCGAACAAGUACCGUGAGGGAAAGAUGAAAAGAACUUUGAAAAGAGAGUUAAACAGUACGUGAAAUUGUCAAAAGGGAAGCGUUUGACACCAGUGUUGUUUUUCCGAAAAUCAAUUACGAAUGGCUUGAUUUUGUGUUGUAUUGACCUUAUCAGCUUUCUUCACUUUUUUCGAGUCUUUCUUAAUGCACUUUUCGGUUAACAAGUCAACAUCAAUUUCUUUUGUUGUAAAAGAGUAUUCGGAAGGUGGCUUUCUUUUCGGAGAAAGUGUUUAUAGCCCUAUACUUCUACAAUCGGAGAGAUUGAGGUCUGCAGCGUAGAUCCUUCGGGGUUAGAUACAUUUGUGCUAAGUUAUAGCCUUUCAUAGACAACUUGUUGACUAUGAUCAGUCAUGUAGCUUACUCGCUUAUGCUAUUUUACCUACGCUUAGGAUGUUGACUGAUAUGUAGUCGUA